GAUGAAGAACGUAGUGAAAUGCGAUACUUGGUGUGAAUUGCAGAAUCCCGCGAAUCAUCGAGUUUUUGAACGCAAGUUGCGCCCGAAGCCAUUCGGCCGAGGGCACGUCUGCCUGGGUGUCACGCAUCGUUGCCCCCCCAAACUCCGGUUCGGGCGGGGCGGAAGUUGGCCUCCCGUGCGUGCCUGCGCGCGCGGUUAGCCCAAAAGCGAGUCCUCGGCGAUGAGCGCCACGACAAUCGGUGGUUUUUUUACCCUCGUUCCUCGUCGUGCGUGCCCCGUCGCCCGAACGCGCUCUUGCAACCCUUACGCGUCGCCUCGGUGGCGCUCCCAACGCGACCCCAGGUCAGGCGGGACUACCCGCUGAGUUUAAGCAUAUCAAUAAGCGGAGA
rnacentral:misc_RNA from 1 species